UGCUCAUGGAUGAGGUACAUCUCCGGAUGUCCUUCUCGGCAUUAAUGGCAAGAGGGAAGAAGCUGUUGGAAUGUUUGCUGCUUUUAUUUUGCCUUGUUCAAUCGCGCCUAACUGAAGGAAGGAGCUGGAAUGGGUGGUGACAAGGAUGCGGAGACUCCAAGAGGAUUUUGCACGCCCUUGUUUUAGGCCAGGCAGUGUACAAGUCCUCAAGAGUGGAACUUCCUCAACAGAUCCUUUGGCAGGCCGUACUUCCUCAGAACUCGCAGGAAGUACCUCCUCUGCUGGGCCUUUUUGAGGAUGGAGUUGAUGUUGGUCUCCCACUUCAGAUCCUGAGAAACUGCAAUUCCCAGGAACUUGAAGGUCUUCCUGGUUGACACAGACUCAUCAGCGUCUUUAAUGGGGCCGAUGACUGUAGUGCCUUCUACAAACUUCAGGAGUUUGACAGCCAAGUGUGCUGAAGUGCAGUCGUUCGUGUAGAGAGAGAAGAGCAGCGGAGAGAGGACAUAUCCUUGGGGGGCCCCGGUGCUGAUGGUGCAUGUGGAUGAGAUGGUGGAGAACCUUGGAGGAGAGGAGCUCAGUGAUGAUGGUGUUGAACACAGAGCUGUAGUCUACAAACAGGAUCCUUGCAUAGGUCCCUGUGCCAUCAAGUGUGGUGUUCAUGUUGGCCUGGGGGGAAAUUUUAAACACCGGUCAAGCGGAAUGGAAGAUCUGUAUCCCUUUUAUGCUGGAACAGUUUUACAGUGUCACAGUGGAGUUUUUAAGCUUCCACUGUGGUUUCUUAGUAUUAUAAUUGAAGUUUAUUGAGAAUCAGUCAAACAGAACAAAGUUUCUAGAGGGGAGAGAGAAACGAAGACAAAAGACAAAGCACUAAACAAGAAGAGAAAAGUAAGUCGUUACAUUAUCUACAACAAUGAAAAAUUAAAUAUGAGUGACUGGACAAGAUAGAACAAGACAAGGACAGGAGAAGAAGCAUGCAGGACAAGGGUCAUGGUGUACAAUUUAAGUGUGGUGGGAUUGACUAUGUAAAUUAUAAGUCUAUCAGACGAGACUAUGAGUGAGGGGAUACACAAGCAAUUCGCAUAUUCAUGAGUUAUUUGUCGUAAUAAGUGAGUGGCCCCACACUCAGUGAAAGAGUCCCAGGGGUGUGUGCCUGCGGAUACAUGCAAGUGAAUUGACACCGUUUUACAUGCACAUAGACUGACAGAAGUUUCCUGUAAUUGCUGUGCCCUCACCACGGAGGCUGAAGACCCCACCCAAUCAAUCGAGGGGCGGGAUUGGGCCCUGGGGUCCACCCAAGUGCAGCCUGGUGGACGGGACACGUCUCACACUGAGGGACUGCCAGGGCCCCAACUGGCAGUCGGGGCCCUAUCCCAUGUAUUAAUGCCCCCCCCCCCCCGAGUGGUGUGGUGCAUUAAAAGGGUCGGGCUCAUCAGGUCGGACAACCGCCGACGAAGAGGGCUGCCCCACCCAGACCCGGAGCACCGACCCUGGGACUAAUUAUAUUUUUCUUAUUUUUUUUAAUAACAAAUUAUUACAGCAGAAUCUAAGGAUGGAAACCAUUUAAAUGUGGGCUUAAAUUGAAUCAUUGAAAAUAAAUUGAUUUGAGGUAAGGUUUUCAUUUUUAUUGUAGCUAUUUUUCCCAGUAGUGAUAUAGGCAAGUUAUUCCAGCCUCUAGUUUUAAAUCAGCUGAGAUUUUUUUCCAAAAGUGGCGUGUAAUUUAGAUUGGUUAGCUCUGUGAGUUUUGAUAAAAUAUUAAUUAAUUAAUAUUAAAUACUUAAUGUUUCAAAAAGGAAUAGGGUAAUCUGGGAUUUGAUCUGCAGGAGUCCAUGAGUUUGCUUUUAUUGGGAGUAUUGUUGAUUUUGUCAGUUGAUAGAGUAGUUUGAUAUUUGUGAAAAUGAUUUAAUGAGGUUGAGACUGCCUGAAGAGAAUACUUGGGUUCCUGUAACUAAAGAAGAAUAUCAUCAGUAUAUAGAUUGAUUUUGUGUUCUGUGCUCACCCCUUGCGGCCUACCGACAACACGGACUCCUACCCUGCCCUCGUUGGAACCCUGCCAAUCCCGGAUUUAGUUCUCGGAGUUCCUUUGUUCACUUCCAAGCUGCAAUAAACCGUUAUUCACAAACGCACCUCCCUGUCCUCUCUGCAUCUGGGUCCAAUUUACAACCUGAAUCCUGACAGACAUACUACGCAUUGAUCGCAUUCAGUGAUUUUAACCAUUCGUCCUGAUGUCCUCGCGAGCAUAGCUUUCACUGGCAGCCGUUUCUUCAAGCUAACAGCUAAUGUUGAGUCAGUC